rnacentral:rRNA from 1 species
UACGAAGGGGCUAGCGUUGUUCGGAAUUACUGGGCGUAAAGCGCACGUAGGCGGAUAUUUAAGUCAGGGGUGAAAUCCCAGGGCUCAACCCUGGAACUGCCUUUGAUACUGUCGAUCUGGAGUAUGGAAGAGGUGAGUGGAAUUCCGAGUGUAGAGGUGAAAUUCGUAGAUAUUCGGAGGAACACCAGUGGCGAAGGCGGCUCACUGGUCCAUUACUGACGCUGAGGUGCGAAAGCGUGGGGAGCAAACAGG